rnacentral:rRNA from 1 species
AAGUCGAACGAAGUAGCAAUACUUAGUGGCAGACGGGUGAGUAACAUGUAGGUAUCUGCCCUUUGGCCUGGAAUAACACGAGGAAACUUGUGCUAAUACCGGAUAAGUCUUUACGGAGAAAGCUUUAUGCACCAUUGGAUGAGCCUGCACUUGAUUAGUUUGUUGGUGGGGUAAUGGCCUACCAAGACUGUGAUCAAUAGCUGAUUUGAGAGGAUGAUCAGCCACAUUGGGACUGAGACACGGCCCAAACUCCUACGGGAGGCAGCAGUGGGGAAUCUUGCACAAUGGAGGAAACUCUGAUGCAGCGAUGCCGCGUGAGUGAAGAAGGCCCUUGGGUUGUAAAGCUCUUUCGUCGGGGAAGAAAAUGACUGUACCCGAAUAAGAAGGUCCGGCUAACUUCGUGCCAGCAGCCGCGGUAAUACGAAGGGACCUAGCGUAGUUCGGAAUUACUGGGCUUAAAGAGUUCGUAGGUGGUUGAAAAAGUUAGUGGUGAAAUCCCAGAGCUUAACUCUGGAACUGCCAUUAAAACUUUUCAGCUAGAGUAUGAUAGAGGAAAGCAGAAUUUCUAGUGUAGAGGUGAAAUUCGUAGAUAUUAGAAAGAAUACCAAUUGCGAAGGCAGCUUUCUGGAUCAUUACUGACACUGAGGAACGAAAGCAUGGGUAGCGAAGAGGAUUAGAUACCCUCGUAGUCCAUGCCGUAAACGAUGUGUGUUAGACGUUGGAAAUUUAUUUUCAGUGUCGCAGCGAAAGCGAUAAACACACCGCCUGGGGAGUACGACCGCAAGGUUAAAACUCAAAUGAAUUGACGGGGACCCGCACAAGUAGUGGAGCAUGUGGUUUAAUUCGAAGAUACGCGCAGAACCUUACCAACACUUGACAUGUUCGUCGCGACUCUAAGAGAUUAGAGUUUUCGGUUCGGCCGGACGAAACACAGGUGCUGCAUGGCUGUCGUCAGCUCGUGUCGUGAGAUGUUGGGUUAAGUCCCGCAACGAGCGCAACCCUCACUUUUAGUUGCCAUCAUUAAGUUGGGCACUCUGAAAGAACUGCCAGUGAUAAGCUGGAGGAAGGUGGGGAUGACGUCAAGUCCUCAUGGCCCUUACGUGUUGGGCUACACACGUGCUACAAUGGUAUCUACAACAGGAAGCAAAACUGCGAAGUUAAGCAAAUCCCUAAAAGAUACCUCAGUUCGGAUUGCACUCUGCAACUCGAGUGCAUGAAGCUGGAAUUACUAGUAAUCGUGGAUCAGCGUGCCACGGUGAAUGCGUUCCCGGGUCUUGUACACACCGCCCGUCACACCAUGGGAGUUGGUUCUACCCUAAGGCAAGGUUUCAAACC